rnacentral:tRNA from 1 species
GCCCUGGUAGCUCAAUGAUAAGCACUUGGCUGCUAACCAAAAAGUUGGUGGUUCGAACCCACCUAAUGGCU